AUCGAGGCGACCCAUUGAUCACAGGAGGUAACGUGUUUUUACUGCUGCGCCCUGUUUUGGCGCCACCACUACCAGGUGACGCGACAGGAUUUCCCCCGACUGUUAGCGCGAACCAGGCCAACCGUGUUGCAAAAGCUUUAAGACUGACUGCACGCAGGGCUCAAGAGGCAUUCGCUUUCAUCCAGAAGCUUGAAGCACAAUUGUGAAGUGCGAAAGCCCCUACUGCAUACUCCCUACGCUCACUUCACAAUGAAGACAGUAUUCCUAGCUUUCUGCCUUGGGGUGUUUGCCUUCACUUCUUUGGCGGACUUGACAGCAGCCUACGAAUUUACCCAUGUUGAAGUAGGCCUUGGAUGUCCAAAGUCCUUGCUGACUUGUUCGCAAGAAUGUCGAAGAAAUUACGGUCAUCAAGGUGGAUAUUGCAAUGGGCCGUUCAACACCGUCUGCACCUGUACCUGACCGGGCUUCGAAAGGUUUAAUUACGCUGUCUCGCCGUUCGUGUUCACAUUUUCUUUCUUGAACAGCAAGAUACCUGAGUGAAACUUCUCGCUCAUCAUGUUAAUGGAUUGGGCCCGUUGUAAUGAAGCGGGUAUCUGGACGCAUUAUACCAUUACAGAUAUGCAGUUUCAUUUCUGUUACAUCGUUGGUACUUUUUCAUUAGCUAAAUUAUCUCCAUGUUCACUUUAUUCUGAAUAAACUUUUAUUGUUGCGA